rnacentral:rRNA from 1 species
GACGAACGCUGGCGGCGUGCUUAACACAUGCAAGUCGAACGGAAAGGCCCUGCUUUUGUGGGGUGCUCGAGUGGCGAACGGGUGAGUAACACGUGAGUAACCUGCCCUUGACUCUGGGAUAACUUCAGGAAACCGGGGCUAAUACCGGAUAGGAGCUCCUGCUGCAUGGUGGGGGUUGGAAAGAUUCGGCGGUUGGGGAUGGACUCGCGGCUUAUCAGCUUGUUGGUGGGGUAGUGGCUUACCAAGGCUUUGACGGGUAGCCGGCCUGAGAGGGUGACCGGCCACAUUGGGACUGUGAUACGGCCGGGACUCCUGCGGAAGACAGCAGUGGGGAAUAUUGCACGAUGGGCGGAAGCCUGGUGCAGCAACGCCGCGUGCGGGAUGACGGCCUUCGGGUUGUAGACCGCUUUCGCCUGUGACGAAGCGUGAGUGACGGUAAUGGGUAAAGAAGCACCGGCUAACUACGUG